rnacentral:rRNA from 1 species
UACGGAGGGGGCUAGCGUUGUUCGGAAUUACUGGGCGUAAAGCGCGCGUAGGCGGACCUGCAAGUCGGGGGUGAAAGCCCGAGGCUCAACCUCGGAACUGCCUUCGAUACUGCGGGUCUUGAGUCCGGGAGAGGUGAGUGGAAUUCCUAGUGUAGAGGUGAAAUUCGUAGAUAUUAGGAAGAACACCAGUGGCGAAGGCGGCUCACUGGCCCGGUACUGACGCUGAGGCGCGAAAGCCAGGGGAGCAAACGGG